GAUGAACGCUGGCGGCGUGCCUAAUACAUGCAAGUCGAACGAGGUGCUUUUGUAGCAAUACGAGAGUAUCCUAGUGGCGAACGGGUGAGUAACGCGUUGGUGACCUACCCCAAAGUGUGGGAUAACAGUUCGAAAGGACUGCUAAUACCGCAUGUGGUCAUCGGGUUCAGAAACCGAUGUCUAAAGCAGCAAUGCGCUUUGGGAGGGACCUGCGUCCCAUCAGCUAGUUGGUGAGGUAACGGCCCACCAAGGCGACGACGGGUAGGGGACCUGAGAGGGUGACCCCCCACAAUGGAACUGAAACACGGUCCAUACACCUACGGGUGGCAG
rnacentral:rRNA from 1 species